UGAGUACAAGAUGCUACGGCAUUGAAGCAGUCUAUGUCAUACUUCCAAGAAAAGCUUGCAAUGUCAUAAACAAAUAAUGCCUGUACCAUAACCGACACAGGUGGGUAGGUAGAGUAUACUAAGGGGCGCGAGAUAACUCUCUCUAAGGAACUCGGCGAAAUGACUCCGUAACUUCGGGAGAAGGAGUACCUUAUUUUAUAAGGUUGCAAUAACAAGGUCCAAGCAACUGUUUACCAAAAACACAGGUCUCCGCUAAGUCGUAAGACGAUGUAUGGGGGCUGACGCCUGCCCAGUGCCAGAAGGUUAAAGAAGUUGGUUAGCAUUAGCGAAGCUGAUAACUGAAGCCCUGGUGAACGGCGGCCGUAACAAUAACGGUCCUAAGGUAGCGAAAUUCCUUGUCGGGUAAGUUCCGACCCGCACGAAAGGCGUAAUGAUUUGGAUACUGUCUCGGAGAGGGGCUCGGUGAAAUAGACUUGUCUGUGAAGAUGCGGACUACCUGCACCUGGACAGAAAGACCCUAUGAAGCUUUACUGUAACUUGAGAUUGAAAUUGGACUUUAUUUGCGCAGUAUAGGUGGGAGACCUCGAAAGUAUUCUUGCGGGAAUAUUGGAGUCAUCAGUGAGAUACCACUCUUAUAAUGUUAGAUUUCUAACUUUGUAUCAUUAUCUGGUCAAAGAACAGUUUCAGGCGGGCAGUUUGACUGGGGCGGUCGCCUCCCAAAUGGUAACGGAGGCGCACAAAGGUUUCCUCUGAACGUGUAGAAAUCGUAUCUAGAGUGUAAAGGCAUAAGGAAGCUUGACUGUGAGACCUACAAGUCGAGCAGGGACGAAAGUCGGUCUUAGUGAUCUGACGGUGCUGAGUGGAAAGGCCGUCACUCAACGGAUAAAAGUUACUCUAGGAUAACAGGCUGAUCUCCCCCAAGAGUUCACAUCGACGGGGAGGUUUGGCACCUCGAUGUCGGCUCAUCGCAUCCUGGGGCGGUAGUACGUCCCAAGGGUUGGGCUGUUCGCCCAUGAAAGCGGUACGCGAGCUGGGUUCAGAACGUCGUGAGACAGUUCGGUCCAUAUCCGGUGUAGGCGUUAGAAUAUUGAGAGGAGCCUUCUUUAGUACGAGAGGACCGAGAAGGACAUACCUCUGGUGUACCAGUUAUCGUGCCAACGGUAAACGCUGGGUAGCUAUGUAUGGAGAGGAUAACCGCUGAAAGCAUCUAAGUGGGAAGCCCACCUCAAGAUAAGUAUUCUU
rnacentral:rRNA from 1 species